GUGCUCGCUUUGACAGCACAUAUAUUAAAACUGUAAAGAUACAGAGAAUAUUAGCAUUGCCCCAGUGCAAGGAUGACACACAUAUCUGUGAAAUGUUCUAUAUUUUU